rnacentral:rRNA from 1 species
UACGUAGGAUGCAAGCGUUGUCCGGAUUUACUGGGCGUAAAGCGCGCGCAGGCGGCACAUUAAGUAAGGUGUGAAAUAUCCCGGCUCAACCGGGAGGGUGCACUUUAGACUGAUGAACUUGAGGUCGGUAGAGGGGGGUGGAAUUGCUGGUGCAUCGGUGAAAUGCGUAGAGAUCAGCAGGAACACCCGUGGCGAAGGCGGCCCCCUGGGCCGUACCUGACGCUGAGGCGCGAAGGCUAGGGGAGCGAACGGG